CUUACCAACUGAAGCUCCAACUCUCCACUAUAAAAGAGAUCAAUAGAGGACGCCUAAAGAAGGUACUUAAUUACUCUAUCUCUCACACUCUUCUUUCUAUUGGAUGAGAUCUUGACUUGAGCAUCAAAGGAUCCUAGCCGAAGCCACCUCUGAUUUGGACUUUUUUGCAGGUUGUGCACCUAGGAGGCCCAUCUUGUCAUCUACUCCAGUGUUUUGACACCAGACGGUUUCUCACACCAAUAGAUGGGCACUAUAGAAAGGGCUUUUUGAUCCAUUUUUGGAGG
rnacentral:lncRNA from 1 species